rnacentral:rRNA from 1 species
UACGUAGGUGGCGAGCGUUAUCCGGAUUUACUGGGUGUAAAGGGCGUGUAGGCGGGAAUGCAAGUCAGAUGUGAAAACUAUGGGCUCAACCCAUAGCCUGCAUUUGAAACUGUAUUUCUUGAGUGCUGGAGAGGCAAUCGGAAUUCCGUGUGUAGCGGUGAAAUGCGUAGAUAUUAGGAGGAACACCAGUGGCGAAGGCGACUUUCUGGACUGUACCUGACGCUGAGGCGCGAAAGCGUGGGUAGCGAACGGG